CACGCCAACUGCGAAGCAGAUUAAGACCUAGUCAGUAGCUAGGCCAACAGUAGAAAUUAAGAGGUGCAAUGCUGAUAAUUAAUGGAUAGUUAUGGUGAUUUCAGCUUCUUCCAAUGUAACAAAGUAAACAUUAAAGUAGCUGCGUAGAUGUAAAUUUUAUCUGCAGAUUAUGAUCUUGUGAUAGAGACGGUUGAAUUAUGAACGUUAAUGUUUCGAAUAUAUCUCUCAUUACUUUGAUUUCUCGAUUAAAUUUCUAUGAUAUUAUGCAUUAUCUAUCUUGGAUUCGAUGCUCAAAUGACUCUUCAAAACAGAACUAAUUAGAUGUUCAAAUUACUCUUCCAGUUUUCAUCCAAUUUAAUUAGGCACCAAACGAGACUAUUUAGAAGUGAAACAGAAAGCUCUUGGCUGCCGGAAGAGAAUUGCUAGUUAAAGUGGUGGCGCAUCCCCUCUACACCAUGAGUUGUUUUUCUCUUUUCGAAGUAUUUUUGUGACGCCCUGAAUCGAAUGGUUGCUUCCUUUUGCUGGAACGAGUCGGAUAGCUCAAGAAGAUGCAUUGGCUUGCUUGGCAGAAUCUCUGCUGCCUAAACCCCAAGGGGUCUGGGUUUUCGCAGCCUUAAUGCUUUCAACAAGGGAUUACUCGCUAAAUAGGGCUGGAAAUUAAUCCAAGAGAUCCCUUAUUUUCACUGUUACACAUUACUAAGUAAGGAACUAUACCUUAACUAUGACACCAAUUUCAUAUUUGGUACGCCAGUUUUUGUUUGGUUUUGUUGUUUCUGAAAGUACCAAGCUGACUUAGUUUUCAUUCGACAAAUAAGUCAAUUUAUAAAUUAAGUGGUUAUUGGAGAACAUAGUCCCACAAUAUAAUACACACUUAAUAUAUGAAAAAUAAUAAACAAUUAA
rnacentral:lncRNA from 1 species